rnacentral:misc_RNA from 1 species
CAUGGAGCAAUGGCUGGAUAUACUGGCUUCACCGUUGGACCUGUAAAUGGUCGACAUGCUUACAUUCCUUUCAAUCGAGUCACUGAGAAGCAGAACAAAGUAGUCAUUACUGACAGGAUGUGGGCAAGGCUCUUAUCUUCAACUGACCAGCCAAGUUUCAUGAGCCCCAAAGUUGUAAAUAAAGCCAAGAAGCAGGAAGAACCUGCUACCUUGUUGAAUGGAAAUAUUUGAAAGCCACGCAAGAAUAAUUAGAUAUUAAAGACAUUACUACGUAUAAGAAG